rnacentral:rRNA from 1 species
GAUGAACGCUGGCGGCGUGCCUAAUACAUGCAAGUCGAGCGAACAGAUAAGGAGCUUGCUCCUUUGACGUUAGCGGCGGACGGGUGAGUAACACGUGGGUAACCUACCUAUAAGACUGGGAUAACUUCGGGAAACCGGAGCUAAUACCGGAUAACAUUUUGAACCGCAUGGUUCUAUAGUGAAAGAUGGUUUUGCUAUCACUUAUAGAUGGACCCGCGCCGUAUUAGCUAGUUGGUAAGGUAACGGCUUACCAAGGCGACGAUACGUAGCCGACCUGAGAGGGUGAUCGGCCACACUGGAACUGAGACACGGUCCAGACUCCUACGGGAGGCAGCAGUAGGGAAUCUUCCGCAAUAGGCGAAAGCCUGACGGAGCAACGCCGCGUGAGUGAUGAAGGGUUUCGGAUCGUAAAACUCUGUUAUUAGGGAAGAACAAAUGUGUAAGUAACUGUGCACGUCUUGACGGUACCUAAUCAGAAAGCCACGGCUAACUACGUG